UACGGAGGGUGCAAGCGUUAUCCGGAUUCACUGGGUUUAAAGGGUGCGUAGGAGGGCAGGUAAGUCAGUGGUGAAAUCUCCAAGCUUAACUUGGAAACUGCCGUUGAUACUAUCUGUCUUGAAUAUUGUGGAGGUGAGCGGAAUAUGUCAUGUAGCAGUGAAAUGCUUAGAUAUGACAUAGAACACCAAUUGCGAAGGCAGCUCACUACACAAUCAUUGACUCUGAGGCACGAAAGCGUGGGGAUCAAACAGG
rnacentral:rRNA from 1 species